rnacentral:rRNA from 1 species
GACGAACGCUGGCGGCGUGCCUAAUACAUGCAAGUCGAGCGAAGCGGCGGAUGGGUGAGUAACGCGUGAGUAACCUGCCCUUAAGUCUGGGAUCCUAUUUAGACACAGCUGCUAAUACCGGCUAUUAAAGGAUGGACAUGCGAUGCAUUAGCUAGUUGGUAAGGUAACGGCUGACCAAGGCGAUGAUGCAUAGCCGAGUUGAGUGACUGAUCGGCCACAUUGGGACUGAGACACGGCCCAAACUCCUACGGGAGGCAGCAGUAGGGAAUCUUCGACAAUGGACGAAAGUCUGAUAGAGCAACGCCGCGUGAGUGAAGAAGGUUUUCGGAUCGUAAAGCUCUGUUGUUGGUGAAGCGGUAAUCAACCAGAAAGUCACGGCUAACUACGUGCCAGCAGCCGCGGUAAUAC